rnacentral:rRNA from 1 species
AACGAACGCUGGCGGCGUGGAUUAGGCAUGCAAGUCGUGCGCGAAAGGGUCCUUCGGGGCCUGAGUAGAGCGGCGAACUGGUGAGUACAAGGUGAAUAACGUGCCCUUGAGUGGGGGAUAACCCCGCGAAAGCGGGGCUAAUACCGCAUGGUUUCUUUGGGUCUUCGGGCUUGGAGAAUAAAGCAGUAAUGCGCUUAAGG